CCCAGACAGCCAGGAUGUUGGCUUAGAAGCAGCCAUCAUUUAAAGAAAGCGUAAUAGCUCACUGGUCGAGUCGGCCUGCGCGGAAGAUGUAACGGGGCUAAACCAUGCACCGAAGCUGCGGCAGCGACACUGUGUGUUGUUGGGUAGGGGAGCGUUCUGUAAGCCUGUGAAGGUGGCCUGUGAGGGUUGCUGGAGGUAUCAGAAGUGCGAAUGCUGACAUAAGUAACGAUAAAGCGGGUGAAAAGCCCGCUCGCCGGAAGACCAAGGGUUCCUGUCCAACGUUAAUCGGGGCAGGGUGAGUCGACCCCUAAGGCGAGGCCGAAAGGCGUAGUCGAUGGGAAACGGGUUAAUAUUCCCGUACUUGGUGUUACUGCGAAGGGGGGACGGAGAAGGCUAUGUUGGCCGGGCGACGGUUGUCCCGGUUUAAGCGUGUAGGUGUGUGUUCCAGGUAAAUCCGGUUCACUUUAACACUGAGGCGUGACGACGAGGCACUACGGUGCUGAAGCAACAAAUGCCCUGCUUCCAGGAAAAGCCUCUAAGCAUCAGGUAACAUCAAAUCGUACCCCAAACCGACACAGGUGGUCAGGUAGAGAAUACCAAGGCGCUUGA
rnacentral:rRNA from 4 species